rnacentral:tRNA from 1 species
GCCCGACUAGCACAGUCGGUAGAGCAUGAGACUCUUAACCUCAGGGUAGUGGGUUUGAGCCCCACGUUGGGAA